AACGAACGCUGGCGGCAUGCCUAACACAUGCAAGUCGAACGAGACCUUCGGGUCUAGUGGCGCACGGGUGCGUAACGCGUGGGAACCUGCCCUUAGGUUCGGAAUAACUCCCCGAAAGGGGUGCUAAUACCGGAUAAUGUCUUCGGACCAAAGAUUUAUCGCCUUUGGAUGGGCCCGCGUUGGAUUAGCUAGUUGGUAGGGUAAAAGCCUACCAAGGCGACGAUCCAUAGCUGGUCUGAGAGGAUGAUCAGCCACACUGGGACUGAGACACGGCCCAGACUCCCCGGGGGGGCGGCGGGGGGGAAGAUUGAAGAAGGGGGAAAGGCUGAACCAACCAUUCCCGCGGGAGGAAUGAGGCCUUAGGGGUUGAAAACCUUUUUCCCCGGGAUGAAAAAUCACCGUCCGGGAAAAAAAGGCCCGGCCUACCUCCGUC
rnacentral:rRNA from 1 species